rnacentral:tRNA from 1 species
GGGGAUUUAGCUCAAUGGUAGAGCGCUUGCCUAGCAAGCACAAGGUCCUGGGUUCAGUCCCCA